AGGAUUUAUUGAGCUUUGAAUGGGUUUACUUCUAUUUUGAGAUGAUGUUGGUUUCUAUUGAAAUAAUGCUGGUGCUAAAUUGUUAUGCUGGUUUGUAUUAAAAAAGAAAGAUGAGGCUAAGGUGUUUUGAAAUGAUGGCUACUUUGAAACUUAGUAGAUAGGAAGUAUAGCAAGUCGGACUCGUAGCUUUUUGAACGCAGGCGUGGCCAUGCUGUCCUGAAAAG
rnacentral:lncRNA from 1 species